rnacentral:sRNA from 1 species
UAAAGGCAACUACAAGCAAACAAAGCAAC